GAUGAACGCUGGCGGCGUGCUUAACACAUGCAAGUCGAGCGAGAAGUUUUGAAAAGAUUCUUCGGAUGAAAUUUAAAAUGGAAAGCGGCGGACGGGUGAGUAACGCGUAGGCAACCUGCCCCAUACAAAGGGAUAGCAUUUGGAAACGAAUAUUAAUACCUUAUGAAACUUAACUAGUGCAUGCUAGGUAGGUCAAAGAUUUAUCGGUAUGGGAUGGGCCUGCGUCUGAUUAGCUAGUUGGUGAGGUAACGGCUCACCAAGGCGACGAUCAGUAGCCGACCUGAGAGGGUGAACGGCCACAUUGGAACUGAGACACGGUCCAAACUCCUACGGGAGGCAGCAGUGGGGAAUAUUGCACAAUGGGGGAAACCCUGAUGCAGCAACGCCGCGUGAACGAUGAAGGCCUUUGGGUCGUAAAGUUCUGUUCUAGGUGAUGAAAACUGACAGUAACUUAGGAGAAAGCCCCGUCUAA
rnacentral:rRNA from 1 species